UACGAAAGGUGCAGGUGUUAUUCAGAUUAACUGGGCGUAAAGGGCACGUAGGUGGUUUGUUAUGUGUACUAUAAAAUUAUAAAGCAUAACUUUAUACUGUAGUAUAGACAACUAAACUAGAGUUAGGUAGAGGGUAGUAGAAUUUCUAAUGUAAAGGUGAAAUUUGAUAAAUUUAGAGAGAAUACCAAUGGCGGAGGCAACCACCUGGGCCUUAGCUGACACUGAGGUGCGAAGGUAUGGGGAGCAAAUAGG
rnacentral:rRNA from 1 species